CGCACAUUGCGCCCCCUGGUAUUCCGGGGGGCAUGCCUGUUCGAGCGUCAUUUAGUGGAAAAUCAAGCACCUGCUUGGCCUUGGGAGCCCGCCCCGUCAGGGGCGCCCCCUAAACCGGUUGGCGGUGGCCCCGGGCCUCUAGCGUAGUGAAACAUCCCGCUACGAGGCCCUGCGGUCGCCCGCUUCCAGAGACCAAACUCUUAUACCAUUGACCUCGGAUCAGGUAGGGAUACCCGCUGAACUUAA
rnacentral:misc_RNA from 1 species